ACAAAAUUGAUAGUAUAGGUAUUCUAUCUAGUCCUUCGUGUAGCUCGGUGAAUGUGAUGAAUACUUUCAACCCUAACCCUCGGCGUAGACGCAGUCAUCAUCGUCAUUAUACAUCACCUACUCUGCAUGAUGUAUCGAUUAAUGACUUGCUGCCGUUUAUACAAAAGCCGUAAGGUACUCAUCACAUUCGCAAUAAAAUUUAUUCAUUACCCCUUUAAAAACUUCAUUUUCUGUGCAAUUUAUGUUUAGAAUCCACUGUUACAAACCCUCAUUCAAAC
rnacentral:lncRNA from 1 species